rnacentral:lncRNA from 1 species
ACGGACACACUGAAACAAGCGGCGCCUCUCCCUUCUUCUUCGGCGAAACGCCGCCUCCGUCUCCGGCCGGCGUCGACUGCCGCCGCGCCUAAGCCCGGCGUUCUCCUCCCUCUCGAUCUCGUCUCUCUUUUUUCUCCAAGAUAGCAGCGCCGCCUUCUUCCUUGGCUGUUCACCGGCGUUGUUCUCUCUCUUCAUCGCAGACCCAAAAACGAGCCAUGAAAUCUGGAAUGUCGCUGCUGCCGACUGGAGUUGCUGCUCUUGACCUUGCUCUCUGUUUCUCUACUCCCAAGUCAUCUCCCCCUCUCAAUCUAUGGAGCGGAGGAAAAUCUUUACUCCUAAUUCAGAAAUCGCCUCAGCUCGACGCCGCUCUACUAUGAAAUUCCGGCGAGCAGGAGAGUGUCCGACGCCCUCAUCGAUUCUCCGAUGAGUAGUAAAUCAGGGUAGGGCGGCGUCCGCUGCUCCCCUCUUUCACUCGCGUACACGAACAAGGGAAAGGCCGAGUUCUCGGUCCUCUUAGCUCAGGCGAGAGAGUCACCGCCGU